AUCUCCCGCUUGCGGGGGUGAUUAGUGGCGAACGGGUGAGUAAUACGUGAGUAACCUGCCCUUGACUCUGGGAUAAGCCUGGGAAACCGGGUCUAAUACUGGAUACGACCCCCUGUCGCAUGGUGGGGGGUGGAAAGGGUUUGACUGGUUUUGGAUGGGCUCACGGCCUAUCAGCUUGUUGGUGGGGUAAUGGCUCACCAAGGCGACGACGGGUAGCCGGCCUGAGAGGGUGACCGGCCACACUGGGACUGAGACACGGCCCAGACUCCUACGGGAGGCAGCAGUGGGGAAUAUUGCACAAUGGGCGGAAGCCUGAUGCAGCGACGCCGCGUGAGGGAUGACGGCCUUCGGGUUGUAAACCUCUUUCAGCAGGGAAGAAGCCACAAGUGACGGUACCUGCAGAAGAAGCGCCGGCUAACUACGUGCCAGCAGCCGCGGUAAUACGUAGGGCGCAAGCGUUGUCCGGAAUUAUUGGGCGUAAAGAGCUCGUAGGCGGUUUGUCGCGUCUGCUGUGAAAGCCCGGGGCUCAACCCCGGGUCUGCAGUGGGUACGGGCAGACUAGA
rnacentral:rRNA from 1 species